UUGCAGCCACUUAAGCCGAAGGUACUCUUUCCCCCUGGGGAAUCAGUGUACAAAGGCUGCAAACAGCAGCUUCCUCGGUAGCACAUGCAGCCUGUUGCCUGUACGGGUUGCCCUAAGGGACCUUGCACAUAGCC
rnacentral:snoRNA from 1 species